rnacentral:rRNA from 1 species
UUGAACCGCUGGCGGGAAUGCUUUAACCACAUUGCAAAGUCGAACCGGUAGGAGGGGGGCAACCCCCUUGGAGAGUGGCGAACGGGUGGAGUAAUAUAUCGGGAACGUGCCCCAGUCGUGGGGGAUAACGUUAGUGAAAAAUUCGGCUAAUACCGCAUACGAUCUAAGGAUGAAAGCGGGGGAUCGCAAGCCCUCGCGCGACUGGAGCGGCCGAUAUCAGAUUAGGUAGUUGGUAGGGAAAAGGCCUCCCAAGCCAACGAUCUGUAGCUGGUCUGAGAGGACGACCAGCCACACUGGAACUGAGACACGGUCCAGACUCCUACGGGAGGCAGCAGUGGGGAAUUUUGGACAAUGGGCGAAAGCCUGAUCCAGCCAUUCCGCGUGCAGGAUGAAGGCCCUCGGGUUGUAAACUGCUUUUGUACAGAACGAAAAGGUCUCUAUUAAUACUAGGGGCUCAUGACGGUACUGUAAGAAUAAGCACCGGCUAACUACGUGCCAGCAGCCGCGGUAAUACGUAGGGUGCAAGCGUUAAUCGGAAUUACUGGGCGUAAAGCGUGCGCAGGCGGUUAUAUAAGUCAGAUGUGAAAUCCCCGGGCUCAACCUGGGAACUGCAUUUGAGACUGUAUAGCUAGAGUACGGUAGAGGGGGAUGGAAUUCCGCGUGUAGCAGUGAAAUGCGUAGAUAUGCGGAGGAACACCGAUGGCGAAG